rnacentral:lncRNA from 1 species
CCAUAGUAACUCUGUUGUAGGGUUAGGGUUGAGGCUAGGGUUAGGCUUGAACUGAGAUGUGGACAUGAAUCUAGGGUUAGGGUUGAACCGACAUGUGGACAUGAAAGCUAGAGUUAGUGUUAGGGAUAAGGUUAGGGUUGAACUAGGAUGAGGACAUGAAGCUAGGGUUAGGGUUGAAGCUAGGGUUAGGGUUGAAGCUUGGGUUAGGGUUUGAAGCUAGGGUUAGGGUUGAAGUGGGAUGUGGACAUGAAGCUAGGGUUAGGGUUGAAGCUAGGGUUAGCGUUGAACUGGGAUGUGGACAUGAAGCUAGGUUUAGUGUUAGGGUUGAGGCUAGGGUUAGGGUUUAACUAGGGUUAGUGUUAGCGUUGAGGCUAGGGUUAGGGUUGAGGGUUAGAGUUGAACUAGGGUUAGUGUUAGCGUUGAGGCUAGGGUUAGGGUUGAACUAGGAUGUGGACAUGAAGCUAGGGUUAGAGUUGAGGCUAGGGUUAGGGUUGAACUAGGAUGUGGACAUGAAGCUAGGGUUAGGGUUGAGAAUAGGGUUAGGGAUUGAACUCAGGUGUGGACAUGAAGCUAGGGUUAGGGUUGAACUAGGGUGUGGACAUGAAGCUAGGGUUAGGGUUGAAUUAGGGUGUGGACAUGAAGCUAGGGUUAGAGUUGAACUAGGAUGUGGACAUGAGGCUAGGGUUAGGGUUGAGGCUAGGGUUAGGGUUGAAAUAGGGUGUGGACAUGAGGCUAGGGUUAGGGUUGAAAUAGGGUGUGGACAUGAAGCUAGGUUUAUGGUUGAGGCUAGGGUGUGGACAUGAAGCUAGGUUUGUGUUGAGGCUAGAUUUAGGGUUGAACUAGGGUGUGGACAUGAAGCUAGGGUUAGAGUUGAACUAGGAUGUGGACAUGAAGCUAGGGUUAGAGUUGAGGCUAGGGUUAGGCUUGAACUCAGGUGUGGACAUGAAGCUAGGGUUAGGGUUGAACUAGGGUGUGGACAUGAAGCUAGGGUUAGGGUUGAACUAGGAUGUGGACAUGAAGCUAGGGUUAGUGUUACUACUGUUACCGAAAAUACUUGCCCAACAGAAACUGUAAGUAUUGAUUACAUUCCUACACUCCUUGUUGAUAAUGACGACUCAUUUCCAUCACAUCUACUGUUGCAUGCUGGAUUAUUUGGUUGCUGAAUCAAAGCUCCUAUCACAAUGGAUAUGUCUCUCUCAGACAGACUUCAACAGAGCAUUAAAGAACCAAACAUCCUGACUGAGCAACGCUCCAGCAGUAUCCUAUAUCACAUUAUCUAAAAACACAGGGGUUCUAGUGGUAGUCUACACUGAAGGUCCUAGAGAGUGAUUCUUUUGUUUUCUGCUGAACAGUAGAAUGUUUUGUGUGUGUGUGUGUCCUUGACAGAUAGAUAGAUGCAGCCAGUCAGGCCAUGUGCUGGUUGGACUGGAAGCUGAUACCACAGUCCUGUACUCCAGUGGAGGCUGCUG